rnacentral:rRNA from 1 species
UACAGGGGGUGCAAACGUUGCUCAGAAUUAUUGGGCGUAAAGCGCACGUAGGCGGUCUGUUAUGUCGGAUGUGAAAGCCCUUGGCUCAACUGAGGAAGUGCAUCCGAAACUGGCAGGCUAGAGUACGUAAGAGGGUCGCGGAAUUCCCGGUGUAGAGGUGAAAUUCGUAGAUAUCGGGAGGAACACCGGUGGCGAAGGCGGCGACCUGGGACGAUACUGACGCUGAGGUGCGAAAGCGUGGGGAGCGAUCCGG